rnacentral:lncRNA from 1 species
UCCCUGCUCUGCUCAGCUUUGACUUGGGGCGGGCGCGACGCCGCGAUUUUACAAACCCAAGUAAUAGGCGUCCCCUUAAACUUCAUUAGACACUGAAACUUGGAAUAUGAUUCCAUGAUUCUCCGGAGUCGGGUUUUCAAACGUCAAAACACUCAAGGUAUUCUUGUUUCUUUGUUUUGUUUUUCCAUGCUCUGUAAGCACCCCUUUAUUAGCCACGUAAGGAAGCGGAUUUGGGGAUUUCGCUGUUUCCCCCUGAACGGAUCCGGGAAAUGAAGGGCUCAUUCUAGGUAGAGGCACCCACUGCUGGGUUAUGAGUGCACGAAUGUCUCACAGGAGCAAGGCUGGCUCAAGUCUAAUUUUCCGCUUUUCCCCGGCGACCUAGAAAACUUGGUUUCUCUGGUGGACCAGCCGCCGCGCUAUCGAAGGGCGACCCUUGCCCACCGUCCCCUAAAGUGAGACGCUGAUUCCCAUGGACUGCGUAAACAGUCACCCUCUUCUCCUGUUUCCAACCAGAGACAUAAUUAACUCUCGAGAUAACGUGUUUAUAUUAAGAUCACCCCACAACCACUCCCCCGCGAAACACAAGCCGUGAAUUUUGUCCCCGACAACCCUCUUUAAUUAACACCGGAUUUUCUCAAGAGCCAGUUUUGAGUCAGCUUGAGAUAAGCAUUGUUUUCAGGAACUGUCGUAUUUUAAUAAAGGAUGGUCAGCCGGGCGGACUUCUGCCCCUGAGGCUCCGCAUGCCGUCCUCAAGGGGCGCCGCUGCAGGACUGCGGUCUGCUGGCGCUGGUCCCCAGAUCUGAACCCUAAACACCGGUGGCCUCGUGGCCUGUGCGAUGCAGGCCGACUCCAGCCCUGCCAGUCCCAGGGGAUUUCUCCGCCGGCGCCCCACUCUUGGGAAGGUCGCUGCGCUUCCGGGUGAGUGCCUGACCUGCGUCAGCGGCUGGGACUUGAACCCGCGGCCGCUAGGAAUCUGCGAGGCCAUAUGGGGCCGAAACCUGGGAGGGUCCGAAGACUCCGUUCCUGUGGCCUUUGAACGCUUGACAACUUUACCCUGGAGCUGUCUGCAGCGGCGCAGGGAAAUAAGAGAGCGUUUCAACAGUGAGGAUCCUGGUACUAUGGAUGCAGCCCAGGGUGGCCGGGUGAGCAAGCUGGACGCGAGGCCAGAGGCUCUCCAGGGCAUCUAUGGAGAGAGAACUGGAAAUAGGGGGUGCCAAUAAUCCCAAGAUGAAAACUCUUGAGUGUGACUACACAAAAUGAAGUUUACUUGAGGAUUAUAAAAGAAUAUUACAAUUCAUUAAGGUCAUUUACAAUGUUUAAAAAUCAUGCUUAUUGUAGAAACUUUGGAAGAUGUGAAAGUGUACAGAGGAGAUCAAGGAGCCCCCCGUAGAUGCACCUGUGCACACACACCCAUAAAACUACUGAAAACAUUUUUUUUUAUGUUUUAACAAACACAGGCGGUAUGGUGCAUUGAUUAAGAGUGUGGACUAGGAAGGCAGCCUGCUCGAUAUCACAUCCUGCUAGUUAGUUCAGAGACUGAACAAGUCACAUAAACCCUCUGUGUAUCAGCUUCCUCCUCUGUUUAAUGGGACAAUAAAGAUAAAUAAUUUAAAUAAAUAUAGAAUAAUUUUUAAAAUAAUUUAAAUGGCUAUAUACUAUUCCAUUGAAAGGCUAUACCAUAAGAUUCAUUUUCCCGUUGUUUGACAUGUAUUUGCCCAAUUUUACUAAUAUCUGUGAUCAUAUGAUGACCUUUUUUCAUAAACUUUUUUUCUUUCUAACAAGUAAUGUUUUAAGAUAAAUUAUGUGAAAAAUAAUUACGGGAUCAAAAGUGGUAGAUAUUUUUAAGGCUGUCAACAUAGAAUGCAAAAUCACCCUUCUAUGAAGUUCGUAUUAAGUCCCCCAAAUUGUAUGAGAUGAGCUAUUACACUUAUACUCAAACCAGCAUUGGAUAUUGCUAUUUUUUAUUUUAAAAAAAUAUUUUAACUUGACAGAUAAUAUUCAAUUCUGUUAUUCACAUUCAACAUUUCCCCACUAUUGAUUAAUCUUUGUAUCCCCUCUUUUGUGGCAGUUUGUUCACAUACUUGUGUACCUCAUGGGUCUUAAUGAAGUUUACCAUUUGUAUAAAUGUUUCAUAAGAGUAUACUAAUCAAAUGUUUAAUAAGAGGAUACUAAUCCUGCUUCAUAUAUGACACAUUUUUCCCAAUUUGUCAUAUUGUUAAAAAAUGAUAGUGCUGCUGCCUUUCAAAAAAGUAAGAAAAAAGUUUUCAUGUGUUCUGUAAAGAUUUAUUAGAGCACACACUAUGUGCUAGACAUAGAAGCUAGUGAUGAGUCAGAUCUCUAGGGUCUAUUGCACUUCAUUGAACUUUCUCCUAAGGGAAAUUUUACGUAGGCAAAUUUGCUGCUUGUUGCCUUUGCAAUGUAUUAGAACACUUUAGUUAAUAAAUAUUUACCUUCAUUUAUAUUUGUUUAAAGGCUUUAGUAAAAAUUUGAUUUUGGAAUUUAUUUUGGCAUACACUAUGGGAUGAAAAUCUGCAUUUAUACUUUAUUUGUUACACCAACACCAUUUACUGAAUAAUCUUUUUCUUCUGCAUUGUGGUGUAAUACCACUUUUGUCAUAUACACAUAAUUAGUUCAUAAUAAGAUCUGUUUCCGGGCUACCUAUUCUGUUCAAUUGAUCUGUUUCAAUUUUUUAUUAUAUUGCUAUGAUUAGACUGAUUUGAUUAUCAGAGAUUAAAUUAUAUUGUAACCCUGACAGUGCCAGUCCCCUUUUCACUCUUUUCAAAAUUUUCAAAGCUCCUCUCUUUUGGGGAUUUUAUUGGAAUUUCAUUAAAACUAGGAAGUAAUUUAUAAAGAACAUAUUUUUAGUGCUUUGUCUCUUCACCCAG